AAAUAGUUGGAUUAUGUUCUUAAAAUAAAUCUGUGCUGGUCCCUGGAGAUCUGUGACAUUAUUUUACAGUUAGAGUCUCCAAAAAAAAAGAAAAGAAAAAAAAGAACUGCAGCCUUAAAGCACAUUUCAUGCUUCAAAUAGGACAAACUCGAUCAUUUCCUCCAGGCUCGCUCCGGAUCUCAGAGCAUUCAGUGUCUAAGCAGGUGCUGAACAUCUGAUAAACCAUAUAAAUAUCAGCAUCCUGGAGGUUUCAAAACAUCCUGUUCAGGAGGAAGUGUUCGAGUGCCCGCUACAGCGACAAGGACAAAGCCGAAGGAGCUUCGCAUGAAUCCUUCUGUCACACCGACUGAGAAAUACGUUUACAAACGGUCGAACGAUUGAUGGGUUUUGAUGAUUAAUCGCACCGAUAACUGAUCCCUGGAACUAUCGGGUCUCGGCAAAAAUCCACACCGACGGCGUUUCCCGACGCGGAGCGGCUGAGAAGAGUCCGCCGUCGUUAUACAGCACGAGAGCGGCCUCUAGAGGCGGAAUAAAAACCAUCACUGACUUA